ensembl:lncRNA
AAACUGUGUUUCUGGUUGUGUGUUUUUUAUUGUGGAAACCUCUUUUCCCCUAUGACUCUGACUAAUCCCUUGAAUUGACCUCACAAAGUCUUAGGAGGAGAAAGAUGUACUGUUUAUUCUUUUGUUUGCAUGUUCUAGACUGGAUGAAAUUCAGAUAGAGUUGUGAUGCAAGACAGAAUCUCAGAGCGAUCUGUACCCGCUGCACACUCUUUGGUAACUGAGAUUGUGCAUGCCCCUGCUCUUCUUACAUGGGACCGCUGCCAGGAAGCAUUUCUAUACAGCUUGAUUUCACGCAUAGCACUACAUGGAGAGACUCGAUAACACGGAACCUGCCCUUAUCACUGUUUCAGGGCAUCGGCGUCAAUGUAUGAAAUGUGGGGAACAUAAUACCGUAGCAGAAUUAUCAGGAUAAUCAAGGAGCUGUUUGUCCUGAAUUUACCCUACGUGAAUGUUCUUCAAUUCUGGUAGCAGUUUUCAAUGGAGGAAGAAGAGUGCUGAACAAAACAAGUCUCUGACCUCGGCGCGUACGUGUAAUCGGCAGAAGAGACAGACAAUGAGCAAGCAAGCAGACGGCUAUGUGCUUAGUGCUGUGUGGAAGAUGAGGGGGACUGCCACAGAGCAGCAAGGAAGGGGCUCCGUGGAGAUGCACACGGGGCAAAGGUGGCUGAGUCACGCUCAGGCUGAGGCCUCACCGGUGCGGGGCCGGCCUUCUACAGGCUCGGGAAAAGCAACGGGGACUGAUGGUGAAGGAUGAACAGAGGCCUUAGGGCAAAGGAAAGCUUGGCAUUUGGAGGAGUUAAAGGCUGGUGGGGCAGGCGUGUGGUAAGCACGUGGCAGGACUGCAGUAGGGAGGAAGGAGAAACGGACAGGGCCAGAUCCCAUAGACACAGGGAGGAUUUAUAUCUUUCUUCAACUUAAUAGAAAGCCAUUGGCGGGGGUUGGGGGUGGGGGGGAGGGGGCGUUGCUCAGAGAAACAGCAGACUCAAUCAUGCUUUUAAAAAGUUGGUGUCUCUUGAAUAUUUUUGUUGCCUUUGAAUAUUUUUUAUUCUUUGAAAGUUUUAAUAUAUUUAUAUAAUGUAUAUUGAUCUUAUCCAGCCACUAGCACCUCCUCAAACUCCUCAUACCUCUCCCCCACACCUCAUCUCCUUCCCAACUCCACGUUAUCUUUCACAAAUUGUUAUUAAGACCCUGGAGGCCAACUUGUACUUCCUAUAUGAACAUGGGUGUGGGAUCACCCACAGGAACAUGGCCAUGUUCUCAAAGGACAGCGACUUUCCCUCCCACAAUAGCUAUCAACUGCAGAUAGCUUCUCUGAUGGGAGUGGGUCCUCAGCUCCCUACCCUCAAGCUGUGUUAGACUUUUGACCGUCUCAAUCAUGUAUAGGUCCUGUGUAGGUAACCAGCUGCUGUGGAUUAAUGCAUACAACAGCCACGUCAUGACCAAUAGUCAGGACUUCAUACAUCCCAUCUCUAUUCGUUGCCUUUCCUGAAGUUCCCUAUACCCGGACAUAUACCCAAAGGGCUUAUAUCCUCCUACAGAGAUAACUACAGAUUCAUGCUCCUUGAGGCUCAAGUCACAAUUGAAUCACUCAAGAUGCCGAUCAAUUGACAAACGGAUAAGAAAAAAAAUGUGGUUCGCAUACACAGUGGAGUACUACUCAGUUGUAAAGAAAAGUGAAGUCAUGACACUUAUAGGUAAACGUAUGGAACUGGAGACAUUAUAGUGAGUGAGCCUACCCAGGCACAGAAAGACAUGUUGCACGCUAUCCUCAUGUGUGCACUCUAGCUCUAAAUCUUUUAUUCUGUGCGUUUAGCUUGGAGUACGGUGGAAACCAGGGUACUAGAAAUGGGCCACUGGGGGGUGAACACCUUAAGGAGAGACGGAGAGUAAAAUAAAGGCAAAAUGAAUGUAGAAGAGGGGAAAGGU